ACGGAAGGCAGCAGCUAAGAAUAUUCCGCAAUGGACGAAAGUCUGACGGAGCGACGCCGCGUGGAUGAUGAAGGCCGGAAGGUUGUAAAAUCCUUUUAUAACUGAGGAAUAAGUCUGGUGAGAGAAACGCCGGAUGGUGACUGUAGGUUAUGAAUAAGCAACGGCUAAUUACGUGCCAGCAGCCGCGGUAACACGUAAGUUGCGAGCGUUGUUCGGAAUUAUUGGGCGUAAGGGCAUGUAGGCGGUUUUGCAAGCCUGGUGUGAAAUUCCGGGGCUCAACUCCGGAACUGCGUUGAGAGCUGCAUAACUAGAGUCACUGAGGGGCAAUCAGAAUUCCUGGUGUAGGGGUGAAAUCUGUAGAUAUCAGGAAGAAUACCAAUGGCGAAGGCAGGUUACCAGCAGAUGACUGACGCCGAGGUGCGAAGGUGCGGGGAGCAAACAGGAUUAGAUACCCUGGUA
rnacentral:rRNA from 1 species